GUCCCAGUGUGACAUAGUGGUUUGAGUGUUAGGCUCCAACUCUGGAGACCAGGGAUUGAUUCCCCGCUUGGCCA
rnacentral:tRNA from 1 species